AGAUGGAUGUGAAGCCGACCAAUAAGUUCACUUGAAACCAACAAACAAGAACCCCACAAGGAGCAGAUUAUAGAGCAAGAAAGAUAUAACUGAUCAAAAUCAGCAGAUGUUGGAGUGUGCAAUACAAGCAUCAGAAAUUCAAAGAACUGUUGGGUUGUGAAACAGAAUCCCAAAAGUGUCUGAGUGAGAGCCGAUUGAAGAAAGCUAGAGGGACAUGAACAGUUUGGAGUUACCAUUGAAGACACUGGAAUUAAGAUAAGGAGCUGAGAGGCUACACAUGUGAUGAAUCACAGCUGAGAUGAAUUGGCUCAUUACCUUACCCCACCCGGAAGUAGUAGCACCUUAUCUAGAGCAAGCAACGGUGUGGUUUGGAAGGCAGAAGACAGUAGCUUUCUUUCUACUCUAAGCAGAGAAGAGGGAGCUCGCAGCAGAAUGUACGGAGGGGUCAGAGGCUGUCGGAAUCCGCGGACACAGGCUGUCAGUCCUGGCCAAACGGCCUAAUUGCUGCAAUUCGUAAAGCAAAAUGGCGUGCUGACUCCCAAAGCUUCAGAAAGUGUUGCCAAGCAGCUUCUGCACCUGGAAAAAACUGCAAUCACCCCCUCCAGUCCUCCGGCC